rnacentral:rRNA from 1 species
UACGUAGGGUGCGAGCGUUGUCCGGAAUUAUUGGGCGUAAAGAGCGCGCAGGCGGUCGUUCAAGUCGCGUGUGAAAGCCCCCGGCUCAACUGGGGAGGGUCACGCGAUACUGAUCGACUGGAAGGCAGGAGAGGGUAGUGGAAUUCCCGGUGUAGUGGUGAAAUGCGUAGAUAUCGGGAGGAACACCAGUGGCGAAGGCGACUACCUGGCCUGUUCUUGACGCUGAGGCGCGAAAGCUAGGGGAGCAAACGGG